UACAAUGACUUUUUUUUGGGAUCAUGAAGUACUAGAAUAACAAACACAAUACCUACAUUUGUAUCUGCCUUGCAAAGCUGAAAUCUAAUUUUACUCGCUACCCGCGAAUUUCAAAUCCGCGUUGCCAUGUGAUAAUAAAUAAACAAUCGUUGAUUCGCCAUGGGGAAAAUUUGUUGUAUCGACAGUUGCAAAACUCGGGACAAAUUCGGCAUCCCAUCCCAUACGGUGGUUUCCCUUUACCGUUUUCCCGAAGACAACGACAAGUAAGUUAACGCAUUUAUAAUCUUCUUUAUACAUUAGUUUAUCUUCCGUUUAUUUUUAGCUUAACCGUUUGGAAAGAAUUCUGCCGUAAACACGGCACGGUGUUCAAAGGAAAGCUAGACCAUCGCCGAAUUUGUUCUCGGCAUUUUGAUGCAUCAUGCUUCAAGGAUCCGUUUGAUUUCGUUGAGUAGAACCGUCUCAAAAGCUCUCCAAGAGUAUGUUGAAAUGGUAGCAUGAGCAGCGAAGUAAUUCCCACGAUAGAGUUCAUAGACCUGAUGGACAGCUUGUUCGAUACUUUUAACUCUCGUUUUGAACAUGAUAAGCUAAAGCCUCUACGAUCUGCUAUAUGCGAUAAUAGCGAACAUUGGGAAUUUCUCGUUAAAACAAAAAAUAUUCUUGAGAAAGCCAAGUUUAUCCCGAAAUCGUGCUUCGAUACCUCAACGGCAUUGGAUGAAGCUCAAAAUCUGCUCACAGCUAAACAGAGAUUCCCUCCAUUUAUGAAAGGAUUCAUUCAGAACAUAAAUGCGAUUCGACUGCUGUGGGAUAUUUCAAAAACAAAAUUCAAUUUCCUCUAUCUGUGUACUAAUUGUAUCUGUCAAGACCCACUGGAGAAUGAAUUUGCUACGCCUAAUGUUUUGCAGUUUAGCACGGCAAUCAAAUAUAAUGGGGUGGAAAGAACAUUAGACCAGCAAGACAAUACAAACUGUAUGAAACGGUCACCCUGAUUGAUAGCAAUGAUGAAGAAGCGAAAUCUGGAGACCCUUUGAGCGUUAUUGAUAAAAAUAGCCUAGUUGAUUUACCUGAUGAUAAUUUAGAUUAUGAAAACCUAGAAGAACCGUUUUGUCUCAAAUUCCGAACAGACUCAUAUUCCGAACACUUCGUUUUUGUAUGGCGAUUUGGU